rnacentral:rRNA from 1 species
UGAAUACGAGAUGCUACGGCGUCGAAGCAGUCUAUGUCAUACUUCCAAGAAAAGCUUGCACUGUCAUAAACAAAUAAUGCCUGUACCAUAACCGACACAGGUGGGUAGGUAGAGUAUACUAAGGGGCGCGAGAUAACUCUCUCUAAGGAACUCGGCAAAAUGACUCCGUAACUUCGGGAGAAGGAGUGCCUUAUUUAUAAGGUUGCAAUAACAAGAUCCAAGCAACUGUUUACCAAAAACACAGGUCUCCGCUAAGUCGUAAGACGAUGUAUGGGGGCUGACGCCUGCCCAGUGCCAGAAGGUUAAAGAAGUUGGUUAGCAUCCGCGAAGCUGAUAACUGAAGCCCUGGUGAACGGCGGCCGUAACUAUAACGGUCCUAAGGUAGCGAAAUUCCUUGUCGGGUAAGUUCCGACCCGCACGAAAGGCGUAAUGAUUUGGAUACUGUCUCGGAGAGGGGCUCGGUGAAAUAGACUUGUCUGUGAAGAUGCGGACUACCUGCACCAGGACAGAAAGACCCUAUGAAGCUUUACUGUAACCUGAAAUUGAAAUUGGACCUUACUUGCGCAGUAUAGGUGGGAGGCGUUGAGAAUAUUCUUGCGGGAUUAUUGGAGCCAUCAGUGAGAUACCACUCUUGUAAUGUUAGAUUUCUAACUUUGUAUCAUUAUCUGGUCAAAGAACAGUUUCAGGCGGGCAGUUUGACUGGGGCGGUCGCCUCCUAAACGGUAACGGAGGCGCACAAAGGUUUCCUCUGAACGGGUAGAAAUCGUAUCUAGAGUGUAAAGGCAUAAGGAAGCUUGACUGUGAGACCUACAAGUCGAGCAGGGACGAAAGUCGGUCUUAGUGAUCUGACGGUGCUGAGUGGAAAGGCCGUCACUCAACGGAUAAAAGUUACUCUAAGGAUAACAGGCUGAUCUCCCCCAAGAGUUCACAUCGACGGGGAGGUUUGGCACCUCGAUGUCGGCUCAUCGCAUCCUGGGGCGGUAGUACGUCCCAAGGGUUGGGCUGUUCGCCCAUGAAAGCGGUACGCGAGCUGGGUUCAGAACGUCGUGAGACAGUUCGGUCCAUAUCCGGUGUAGGCGUUAGAAUAUUGAGAGGAGCCUUCUUUAGUACGAGAGGACCGAGAAGGACAUACCUCUGGUGUACCAGUUAUCGUGCCAACGGUAAACGCUGGGUAGCUAUGUGUGGAGUGGAUAACCGCUGAAAGCAUCUAAGUGGGAAGCCCACCUCAAGAUGAGUGCUCUCACAGGGUUAACCUGGUAAGGUCACGGGAAGACCACCCGUUAAUAGGCACUAGGUGGAAGUCCAGUAAUGGAU